ACAAUAAGUUCAGAUUGUUAUAAAAAGGGACACCCAUAUCUUUUUGUUAUUUAAUAUGUCAUGUUAUUAAUAUUUUCUGUUUAAUCUAAAAGAAUCACUGUGCUCUAGUUUCUGCAAUCAGGCAAUACAGGGGUGUAGUGGCGCCUUUACGCCACAAGAGGGAGUAUCCCCGCAAAUGAGUAACUCUGUCAAGGGAAAACACAGCCGAUGCACACAGGGUAUAACCUGCAUCCGGCUGGACAGAAACAUAAUGAUGUGUAUUGCCAUGUGUAUUUCCAGACUGUCCAGUAAAGAAUGUGAAUGAAGCCA